AUUGAACGCUGGCGGCAGGCCUAACACAUGCAAGUCGAGCGAGCGUCGGACGGGUGAGUAUUGCAUGGGGUACGCCCGCUUGAUGGGGAUAACUACUGGAAACGGCGGCUACUACCGCAUACUGUCGGAUAACCCAUAUGUGAUUAGCUAGUGGGUAAGGUAAUUGCUUACUUAGGCGAAGAUACCUAGCUGGUCUGAGAGGAUGAGCAGCCACACUGGGACUGGAAAACGGCCCAGACUCCUACGGAGGCAGCAGUGGGGAAUAUUGCACAAUGGGCGCAAGCCUGAUGCAGCCAUGCCUCGUGUAUGAAGAAGGCCCUAGGGUUGUAAAGUACGUUCAGUCGGGAGGCGUUACCGACAGAAGAAGCACCGGCUAACUCCGUGCCAGCCGCCGCGGUAAUAC
rnacentral:rRNA from 1 species